CAGUAGCCGCGGGAAAACGAAGGGGGCUAGCGUUGUUCGGAUUUACUGGGCGUAAAGCGCACGUAGGCGGAUCGAUCAGUCAGGGGUGAAAUCCCAGAGCUCAACUCUGGAACUGCCUUUGAUACUGUCGAUCUGGAGUAUGGAAGAGGUGAGUGGAAUUCCGAGUGUAGAGGUGAAAUUCGUAGAUAUUCGGAGGAACACCAGUGGCGAAGGCGGCUCACUGGUCCAUUACUGACGCUGAGGUGCGAAAGUGUGGGGAGCAAACAGGAUUAGAUACCCCUGUAGUCCCUGUCUCUUAUAU
rnacentral:rRNA from 1 species